GAUGAACGCUGGCGGCGUGCCUAAUACAUGCAAGUCGAGCGAACAGACGAGGAGCUUGCUCCUCUGACGUUAGCGGCGGACGGGUGAGUAACACGUGGAUAACCUACCUAUAAGACUGGGAUAACUUCGGGAAACCGGAGCUAAUACCGGAUAAUAUAUUGAACCGCAUGGUUCAAUAGUGAAAGACGGUUUUGCUGUCACUUAUAGAUGGAUCCGCGCGGCAUUAGCUAGUUGGUAAGGUAACGGCUUACCAAGGCAACGAUGCGUAGCCGACCUGAGAGGGUGAUCGGCCAAACUGGAACUGGGACACGGUCCAGACUCCUACGGGAGGCAGCAGUAGGGAAUCUUCCGCAAUGGGCGAAAGCCUGACGGAGCAACGCCGCGUGAGUGAUGAAGGUCUUCGGAUCGUAAAACUCUGUUAUUAGGGAAGAACAAAUGUGUAAGUAACUAUGCACGUCUUGACGGUACCUAAUCAGAAAGCCACGGCUAACUACGUG
rnacentral:rRNA from 1 species